CACGGUGCACGUCAAACCUCAGCCAGUAACGUCCUCACGGUGCACGUCAAACCUCAGCCAGUAACGUCCAAGUCGGUUGUGCGCAUCCCAAAGCAAUGGCGCUGCUUCCCUGGAAGUGAGUCCUCCUGCCAUUCAUGAUGACAUCUUCCCACCACACCACACACUCCGUCCACAGCUAAAACGCCACAAGGAACUUCAGAUCUCUCCUCCCCAGCUCCACAGGGACAUGUUCAGGUGAUAAAACAGGACAAAUAGAACACAAGCAGAAUCUACUCAGAAGUCAGCCAUAACAAAUAAAAGGAUCUGUGAUUCAUUGCAGAGAGAAGAGAGGGCAGGAGAGUCUGGGGUAUGACUGAAGGCUGAAAACUAGCCAACAAAGAAAUGUGGAAGACACAAUAUUCAGUCUGUACAGGGAGAUGGACAUACAUGACAGACAAGAGGCAAAGCCAUAGGAAUUGGCAGAGAAGAGGUUGUUCUCAAUGAUGUAGAAAAGAUUAAGAAAUCAUGAAGACGAUGCUGGAGCACAAACAUAGAUAAUGUACUGGCAUCAAAAAUGCUGAUGGAGGACAAAGGAGGUCUGAGAGAGAGCAUAGCUGUGCAGACACGACCGACCCUGAUCGCAGAACCAAAAGAAUGAGAGGUAUCGCAGGGAACAGGGGAUGGAGAGAGACACCAGCGAGCUGUAGAGGCAGCAGCAGGAAAGGAAGUGAAUGGUCUAUGGCAGACAUGCAAGACCAGUGUUUCACAUUAAAAACUUAUCCCUUCUCAUGGACUGAGAGCAUCUAUGCCCAGUUGUAAGAUCUUGAAUUUCUUGGGAGACAUAAAUAAGGGACAACUAACUUCUGUCAGCGGACACAACUGCCUUCUCCUCAGUUACUCCCAUUUGGCCACUGUGGAUUCUUUUUUUCAGAACACAAAUACUCUUAAGUGUACGCAAAGCAUCUCAUUCUCCCCGUUUGCCUUUGAACCGUAUGUUCAUUAUUCCAUAACCUUUUGAGGACUAGCUGGAACAGGAGAGAAACGGAUUGAAAGGUUCCCAGCAUCUAGCGGCCCAUCCUUUACACCCUCACUUCAAAACUGGAGUUUUCAUAGCCAAGAAAAUUUCUCUUUUCUGAAGAAAAAGAAAAACAGAACAAGAAACAGGGGAAGGAAAAAGGAGAAGCAAGGAAUCUGACCUGGCAGGAGAAUAGGGAAAGGAGCAGAGCGACAGGAGGAAAGAAGACCAUGCAGAGGCGACUUUUGCUGAAUCUCUUCUAGGUUGUCUGUGUUCCAUACAAACCGCAGAACAUUCCACAGCAGCAGGGAGUUCCUAAGAGGAAGGCCAUUAUAAUGGAGAGCAGGCUCUCCCAGGGCCUUCAAGACAAGACAGUGGUAUUGGAUGGGAGACAGGAAGGAUGGUUUGACUGGAGUGCAAAUAGUUCAAUGCUAAGCCCAGGCUGUCUGCGACUACAGAUACUCCCCACUUGAGCAAGUGCUAUACCUCUAGAAAUUACCCUCUUAUGGGGGUAGCAGGAAUCAGGACACAGAACACCUCAAAGUCCCUGAAGCUGAGAUGUGCUGGGUGCAUAAACAUCCAAGCAACCCAAAAUUGAGACAAGAAACCCUGGAGCCAAAAAGAGAUGUUGGCAAGUGAGAGAGAGAGGGGGGGGAGAGAGAGAGACAGAGAGACAGAGAGACAGAGACAGAGAGACAGAGAGAGAGACAGAGAGACAGAGACAGAGAGACGGGAAGAGACAGAGACAGAAACAGGGCGUGGUGGUUUGAUUUGAUUCAACCACAAGGAAUAUUCCUAUGCCAGCCACAGGAAUAAUGUAUGGAACUGUAGAUCAUCUUGUUUCAUGAAAUAAACCAGAUACAGACAGAUAAGCAUCAUGUUUUUUCUCAAAUGCUAGACUAAAAUUUAAGUUUACAUACGACAUGACUAGAAAAUGGACUAUGGGGAGAAGAAAAAGCGGGGCAUGAAAGAAGAGGAUGGAGUGAGAAAAAUGAAUCCUGUUUUCUCUCCUUGCAGAAUCAGGAUAGAGGGAGAAUAGAGAGGGAUAGGAGGGGAGAAGGUAGGAACAUAGCAAAGCAAAAUGUUAUAUAUGAAUGAAAAUGUCAUUAUUAUACAUAUCAUGCUAAUUAAAAAAACCAAAAUGACAUAAAUGUUCAUUACCAGAUUGUCCAUAUUACCAA
rnacentral:lncRNA from 1 species